AGUGAACGCUGGCGGCAGGCCUAAUACAUGCAAGUCGAACGGCAGCACAGCAGAGCUUGCUCUGUGGGUGGCGAGUGGCGGACGGGUGAGGAAUACGUGGGAAUCUGCCCAGUCGUGGGGGAUAACGUAGGGAAACUUACGCUAAUACCGCAUGCGCCCUUCGGGGAAAGCCGGGGACCUUCGGGCCUGGCGCGAUUGGAUGAGCCCACGUCGGAUUAGCUAGUUGGCGGGGUAAAGGCCCACCAAGGCGACGAUCCGUAGCUGGUCUGAGAGGAUGAUCAGCCACACUGGAACUGAGACACGGUCCAGACUCCUACGGGAGGCAGCAGUAGGGAAUAUUGGACAAUGGGCGCAAGCCUGAUCCAGCCAUGCCGCGUGAGUGAAGAAGGCCCUCGGGUUGUAAAGCUCUUUGUCCGGAAAGAAAAGCGCCGGGUUAAUACCCUGGUGUCCUGACGGUACCGGAAGAAUAAGCACCGGCUAACUUCGUGCCAGCAGCCGCGGUAAU
rnacentral:rRNA from 1 species